CAGGAAUCCUCCUCUGCACAAUGAUGGAAGGAAAAACAAGGUUAUGAAUAUUAAUAGUCUACGAAACGAAAGGCUCGCGGAACAAUGGCAUAGUCGGAAAUGAACAGAAUGGAGACAGAGUAUUGGCAUAUCGAGAUAGAUGCGUUGCGUGUCUUCUUCAAUAAUUCCCUUUGGGUGCGCACGUUAGGUCACGAAAGUAUUCGCACGCUUACAGUUUGCGAAGGCUGCGAGUGUUCGAAUACAUUCAUGACCCCACAUCAGACAUUGGAUUACCAAGGACAGAAAAAGGGGGAAAAUUACGAGAGAAAUACGCCUAUAAGGAUUCCAACGAGAUCCUGGAAUCGUUCUUGGCGGCCCGUACCGUCUAUUUUUUUAUCACUACCUAGAUACGUGAACCAUGAAGGAAGCGACAAUAUUAAAAGCGUGGGACACGAGGCAGGUCAAAGACCAGGAACACACAGGAACUGAAACACGGACUUUGCUUUCACCGGCUGAAUACCAUCCGUCGAUUCGAAAGUCGCCAAAGAAGUUUGUCGUCAAACAGUAUGAGGGCCGACACUUGAAACAUCCUCACGAAAAAUGAAAAGGGAUCCUUCUCCAUAGGCUUGGGCGUGAUGAUGUUUCCCAAUUCAUCCUGACCGAACCAAGGAAUCCUUGAAUUGACCUAACUCCGAUCAUGUUAAUUAGUUUCUAUUUUUCUGGUUAGACCGGUACACAUAUAUUUGUAUAUAUUUUAUUUACUGCAGGGGUCGACAGAGCGCGGUAACAAUGGAGAAACAAUUAUUUUUCAUUCGGUAUAUUUGUGUUUCUCUUUGGUGGGACUAUACCAGUCGGAAUAUCGUGAUGCAGAAUCGCAUAACACACGUGUUUAAAUAAACGCGCGGAGGAGAAUGUGAUUCCUCCACGAGAUACAAACGAUACGCAGUCGUACGAACACCUAUCAAAUGCAGUGGAUGCAGUUCUGAAUAUCUCCAGAGACAUUAUAUCUGAAUUUCAACGAGCAUUGUCCAUAAACGAUGUGAAUAGUCCAUUUAGCGUUCAAGGUAUUUUACUCGUUCUAAUGUACUGACCAAAGUAUCGUUCUAUCUAACUAAUUUUUAAUUCAGACACGCUUUCUUUUUUUUUUUUGUUUCGUUCAUUUUUACCCUCGUACCGUAUACACAUAAGUACCCCUGCUACCCUUUAUUUUCUACUUUCCUGUCUGUGUUGGCUUCUCGCGGUAAUGAAUUGACCACAGAGUAUGAAUUUCAACUGAAAAAAAAAAGAGAAAAAAAAACAGAAGAGAAAAAGAAAAGAACCAGCAUUGUGCAACGCAAAAUUGUUUUCUUUUCUUCUUUCCGACCAACAGCGCACCGCUAACUGCAGAAUAUAUGGAAAUUUAUUGUGAAACCUUAUGGAACAAAUAAAUUUCAUUUUGAAGGAA